rnacentral:piRNA from 1 species
AGCGGUUGAGGUUGCGGCUCACAGUGACU